rnacentral:lncRNA from 1 species
AGCUUCGAAUAUGAAGGUGAUCCGUCAAGAAAAUAGAGCGAGAAGCGGAAUAUAUCUUUCUUCCUUUGUUAGGUCAAAAAUCUACUCUUGUCAUGUUCUGCCCUGUAUGAAAUAAUAAUUACAGGUCAAAAUAAAAUUAAAAUUAAUUCAUCUCGAACUUGGCCCGUUGACAAAAAACAAAGCAAGAGGUGAAAGACCCC